CCUACGGGAGGCAGCAGUGAGGAAUAUUGGUCAAUGGGCGGGAGCCUGAACCAGCCAAGUCGCGUGAGGGAAGACGGUCCUAUGGAUUGUAAACCUCUUUAGGCGGGGAGCAAUGCCGGGCACGUGUGCCCGGAGGGAGAGUACCCGCAGAAUAAGCAUCGGCUAACUCCGUGCCAGCAGCCGCGGUAAUACGGAGGAUGCGAGCGUUAUCCGUAUUUAUGGGGUUUAAAGGGUGCGUAGGCGGAUUUUUAAGUCAGCGUUAAAAUGUCCGGGCUCAACCCGGGCCGGCCGUUGAAACUGGGGAUCUUGAGUGGGCGAGAAGUAUGCGGAAUGCGUGGUGUAGCGGUGAAAUGCAUAGAUAUCACGCAGAACUCCGAUUGCGAAGGCAGCAUACCGGCGCCCGACUGACGCUGAGGCACGAAAGCGUGGGGAUCGAACAGGAUUAGAUACCCCAGUAGUC
rnacentral:rRNA from 1 species